rnacentral:rRNA from 1 species
GGGAUCUGCCCGAUAGAGGGGGAUAACUACUGGAAACGGUAGCUAAUACCGCAUAAUCUCUAAGGAGCAAAGCAGGGGAACUUCGGUCCUUGCGCUAUCGGAUGAACCCAUAUGGGAUUAGCUAGUGGGGGAGGGAAUGGCUCACCAGGGCGACGAUCCCUAGCUGGUCUGAAAGGAUGAUCAGCCACACUGGGACUGAGACACGGCCCAGACUCCUACGGGAGGCAGGAGGGGGGAAUAUUGCACAGGGGGCGCAAGCCUGAUGCAGCCAUGCCGCGUGUAUGAAGAAGGCCCUAGGGUUGUAAAGUACUUUCAGUCGGAAGGAAGGCGUUGAUGCUAAUAUCAUCAGCGAUUGACGUUACCGACAGAAGAAGCACCGGCUAACUCCGGGCCAGCAGCC